GAGACUGGGAUAACACCUGGAAACAGAUGCUAAUACCGGAUAACAACACUAGACGCAUGUCUAGAGUUUAAAAGAUGGUUCUGCUAUCACUCUUGGAUGGACCUGCGGUGCAUUAGCUAGUUGGUAAGGCAACGGCUUACCAAGGCAAUGAUGCAUAGCCGAGUUGAGAGACUGAUCGGCCACAUUGGGACUGAGACACGGCCCAAACUCCUACGGGAGGCAGCAGAA
rnacentral:rRNA from 1 species